AGGACUUAGAUCUGUGUUCCUCUAGUGUACCAAUUGUUAUAUCAUAUGAUUAGCACCGUUGGGUAGCCACGAACAUUAAGGAUAAGCACUGAAAGCAUAUAAGUGCGAAGCCCACCUCAAGAUGAGAUUUCCCUUAAGGGUCGUUCGAGAUGAGGACGUUGAUAGGCUUCAGGUGUAAAGGCAGUAAUGUCAUAGCCAAGUAGUACUAAUAACCCGUAGGCUUA
rnacentral:rRNA from 1 species